rnacentral:rRNA from 1 species
UACAGAGGUCCCAAGCGUUGUUCGGAUUCACUGGGCGUAAAGGGUGCGUAGGUGGUGAGGUAAGUCGGAUGUGAAAUCUCCGGGCUCAACCCGGAAAUGGCAUUGGAAACUACCUUGCUGGAGGAUUUGAGGGGGGAUUGGAAUACUUGGUGUAGCAGUGAAAUGCGUAGAUAUCAAGUGGAACACCAGUGGCGAAGGCGGGUCUCUGGGCCGAUACUGACGCUGAGGUGCGAAAGCGUGGGGAGCAAACAGG